AGGUAACGGCUCACCAAGGCGACGAUGCGUAGCCGACCUGAGAGGGUGAUCGGCCACACUGGGACUGAGACACGGCCCAGACUCCUACGGGAGGCAGCAGUAGGGAAUCUUCCGCAAUGGACGAAAGUCUGACGGAGCAACGCCGCGUGAGUGAUGAAGGUUUUCGGAUCGUAAAACUCUGUUGUUAGGGAAGAACAAGUACCGUUCGAAUAGGGCGGCACCUUGACGGUACCUAACCAGAAAGCCACGGCUAACUACGUGCCAGCAGCCGCGGUAAUACGUAGGUGGCAAGCGUUGUCCGGAAUUAUUGGGCGUAAAGCGCGCGCAGGCGGUUUCUUAAGUCUGAUGUGAAAGCCCCCGGCUCAACCGGGGAGGGUCAUUGGAAACUGGGGAACUUGAGUGCAGAAGAGGAGAGUGGAAUUCCACGUGUAGCGGUGAAAUGCGUAGAGAUGUGGAGGAACACCAGUGGCGAAGGCGACUCUCUGGUCUGUAACUGACGCUGAGGCGCGAAAGCGUGGGGAGCGAACAGGAUUAGAUACCCUGG
rnacentral:rRNA from 1 species